rnacentral:rRNA from 1 species
CAGCAGCCGCGGGAAUACGGAGGGUGCAAGCGUUAAUCGGAAUUACUGGGCGUGAAGCGCACGCAGGCGGUUUGUUAAGUCAGAUGUGAAAUCCCCGAGCUUAACUUGGGAACUGCAUUUGAAACUGGCAAGCUAGAGUCUUGUAGAGGGGGGUAGAAUUCCAGGUGUAGCGGUGAAAUGCGUAGAGAUCUGGAGGAAUACCGGUGGCGAAGGCGGCCCCCUGGACAAAGACUGACGCUCAGGUGCGAAAGCGUGGGGAGCAAACAGGAUUAGAUACCCCAGUAGUCCCUGUCUCUUAUAC